rnacentral:rRNA from 1 species
AACGAACGCUGGCGGCAGGCUUAACAUAUGCAAGUCGAACGCCCCGCAAGGGGAGUGGCAGACGGGUGAGUAACGCGUGGGAAUCUACCGUGCCCUACGGAACAACAGUUGGAAACGACUGCUAAUACCGUAUACGCCCUACGGGGGAAAGAUUUAUCGGGGUAUGAUGAGCCCGCGUUGGAUUAGCUAGUUGGUGGGGUAAAGGCCUACCAAGGCGACGAUCCAUAGCUGGUCUGAGAGGAUGAUCAGCCACAUUGGGACUGAGACACGGCCCAAACUCCUACGGGAGGCAGCAGUGGGGAAUAUUGGACAAUGGGCGCAAGCCUGAUCCAGCCAUGCCGCGUGAGUGAUGAAGGUCUUAGGAUUGUAAAGCUCUUUCACCGACGAAGAUAAUGACGGUAGUCGGAGAAGAAGCCCCGGCUAACUUCGUGCCAGCAGCCGCAGUAACAC